GAUCAUGGCUCAGGAUGAACGCUAGCUACAGGCUUAACACAUGCAAGGUCGAGGGGGCAGCAUGACGAUAGCUUGCUAUUGUUGAUGGCGACCGGCGCACGGGUGAGUAACGCGUAUCCAACCUUCCCGUUGCUAGGGGAUAACCUUGCGAAAGUAAGACUAAUACCCUAUGAUGUUCUUCGCAGACAUCUAAAGAGAACGAAAGAUUUAUCGGCAACGGAUGGGGAUGCGUCUGAUUAGCUUGACGGCGGGGUAACGGCCCACCGUGGCUACGAUCGGUAGGGGUUCUGAGAGGAAGGUCCCCCACAUUGGAACUGAGACACGGUCCAAACUCCUACGGGAGGCAGCAGUGAGGAAUAUUGGUCAAUGGGCGGAAGCCUGAACCAGCCAAGUAGCGUGAGGGAUGACUGCCCUAUGGGUUGUAAACCUCUUUUAUAAGGGAAUAAAAUACGGGACGUGUCCUGUUUUGCAUGUACCUUAUGAAUAAGGACCGGCUAAUUCCGUG
rnacentral:rRNA from 1 species